rnacentral:rRNA from 1 species
AGUGAACGCUGGCGGUAGGCCUAACCCAUGCAAGUCGAACGGCAGCACAGUAAGAGCUUGCUCUUACGGGUGGCGAGUGGCGGACGGGUGAGGAAUACAUCGGAAUCUACUUUUUCGUGGGGGAUAACGUAGGGAAACUUACGCUAAUACCGCAUACGACCUACGGGGGAAAGCAGGGGAUCUUCGGACCUUGCGCGAUUGGAUGGGCCGAUGUCGGAUUAGCUAGUUGGCGGGGUAGAGGCCCACGAAGGCGACGAUCGGUAGCCGGUAUGAGAGGAGGACCGGCGACAAGGGGACUGCGAGACGGCCCAGACGCCUACGGGAGGCAGCAGUGGGGAAUAUUGCACAAUGGGCGGAAGCCUGAUGCAGAAACGCCGCGGUCGGGAUGACGGCCUUCGGGUUGUAAAACGCUUUCGCCUGUGACGAAGCGUGAGUGACGGUAAUGGGUAAAGAAGCACCGGCUAACUACGUG